GGAGAGGUGGCCGAGUGGUUGAAGGCGACCGCCUCGAAAGCGGUUAAACCGUUUAAACCCGGUUUCCGGGGUUCGAAUCCCCGCCUCUCCGCCA
rnacentral:tRNA from 1 species